rnacentral:rRNA from 1 species
GGCCUAACACAUGCAWGUCGAGCGGUAACANAAAGUAGCUUUGCUACUUUGCUGACGAGCGGCGGACGGGUGAGUAAUGCUUGGGAAUAUGCCUUUUGGUGGGGGACAACAGUUGGAAACGACUGCUAAUACCGCAUAAUGUCUACGGACCAAAGUGGGGGACCUUCGGGCCUCACGCCAAAAGAUUAGCCCAAGUGGGAUUAGCUAGUUGGUAAGGUAAUGGCUUACCAAGGCAACGAUCCCUAGCUGGUUUGAGAGGAUGAUCAGCCACACUGGGACUGAGACACGGCCCAGACUCCUACGGGAGGCAGCAGUGGGGAAUAUUGCACAAUGGGCGCAAGCCUGAUGCAGCCAUGCCGCGUGUGUGAAGAAGGCCUUCGGGUUGUAAAGCACUUUCAGUAAGGAGGAAAGGGUAGUCUUUAAUAGAGGCUAUCUGUGACGUUACUUACAGAAGAAGCACCGGCUAACUCCGUGCCAGCAGCCGCGGUAAUACGGAGGGUGCGAGCGUUAAUCGGAAUUACUGGGCGUAAAGCGUACGCAGGCGGUUUGUUAAGCGAGAUGUGAAAGCCCC